UGGCGGACGGGUGGGUAAUGUCUGGGAAACUGCCCGAUGGAGGGGGAUAACUACUGGAAACGGUAGCUAAUACCGCAUAACGUCGCAAGACCAAAGAGGGGGACCUUCGGGCCUCUUGCCAUCGGAUGUGCCCAGAUGGGAUUAGCUAGUAGGUGGGGUAACGGCUCACCUAGGCGACGAUCCCUAGCUGGUCUGAGAGGAUGACCAGCCACACUGGAACUGAGACACGGUCCAG
rnacentral:rRNA from 1 species